rnacentral:rRNA from 1 species
UAACGAAUCUUCCGCAAUGGGCGCAAGCCUGACGGAGCAAUGCCGCGUGUGGGAUGAAGCGUCUCUGACGUGUAAACCACUGUCAGGGGUUAGAAACAAUGAUCAACCCCAAAGGAAGUGGCGACUAACUCUGUGCCAGCAGUCGCGGUAAUACAGAGGCCACAAGCGUUAGUCGGAAUCACUGGGCUUAAAGGGCGCGUAGGCUGGUCCGCAAGCGUCUUGUGAAAGCCCUCGGCUCAACCGAGGAACAGCAGGGCGAACUGCGGAUCUUGAGGCAGGUAGGGGUCGCGAGAACAGUAGGUGGAGCGGUGAAAUGCGUAGAUAUCUACUGGAAUGCCGAUGGUGAAGACGCGCGACUGGGCCUGUCCUGACGCUGAGGCACGAAAGCGUGGGGAGCAAACAGGAUUAGAUACCCUGGUAGUCCCUGAGCGGGCUGGCAAGGCGCAU